GAUGAACGCUGGCGGCGUGCCUAACGCAUGCAAGUCGAGCGGCAGCGAGGGGUGCUUGCACCCUGUCGGCGAGCGGCGGACGGCUGAGUAACGCGUGGGAACGUGCCCCAAAGUGAGGAAUAACUGCCCGAAAGGGUAGCUAAUACCGCAUAUUAUCUUCGGAUCAAAGGAUUUAUCCGCUUUGGGAGCGGCUCGCGUCGGAUUAGGUAGUUGGUGAGGUAAUGGCUCACCAAGCCGACGAUCCGUAGCUGGUCUGAGAGGAUGACCAGCCAGACUGGAACUGAGACACGGUCCAGACUCCUACGGGAGGCAGCAGUGAGGAAUCUUCCACAAUGGGCGAAAGCCUGAUGGAGCAACGCCGCGUGCAGGACGAAGGCCUUCGGGUUGUAAACUGCUUUUAUAAGUGAGGAAUAUGACGGUAACUUAUGAAUAAGGAUCGGCUAACUACG
rnacentral:rRNA from 1 species